ACCAAGGCGAUAAUGGAUAGUUGGUUUGAGAGGAUGAUCAGCCACAUUGGGACUGAGAUACGGCCCAGACUCCUACGGGAGGCAGCAGUGGGGAAUAUUGGACAAUGGACGAAAGUCCGAUCCAGCGACACCGCGUGGGGGAUGAAGGCUUUCGGGUUGUAAACCCCUUUUCUGGGGGAAGAAUAAGGUUGGGAGGAAAUGCCCAUCCGAUGACGGUACUCCAGGAAUAAGCAUCGGCAAACUUCGUGCCAGCAGCCGCGGUAAGACGAGGGAUGCAAGCGUUAUCCGGAAUUACUGGGCGUAAAGGACGUCUAGGCGGUUGGAUAAGUCAUUUGUGAAAUCCCAGGGCUUAACCCUGGAAGGUCUUGUGAUACUGUCCGGCUUGGGUGUAGGAGAGGAGAGCGGAACUCACAGAGUAGCGGUGGAAUGCGUAGAUACUGUGAGGUACCCCGAUGGCGAAGGCAGCUCUCUGGCCUAUUACCGACGCUGAAGCGUGAAAGCGUGGGGAGCAAAGGGGAUUAGAUACCCCCGUAGUCCACGCCCCAAACGAUGUUCACUUGGUGUCGGGAGCCUAUAUAUCUCGGUGCCGGAGCUAACGCGUUAAGUGAACCGCCUGAGGAGUACGGCCGCAAGGCUAAAACUCAAGAGAAUUGACGGGUCCCCGCACAAGCGGUGGAGCACGUGGUUUAAUUCGACGAUAAGCGAAGAACCUCACCUGGGCUUGACAUACUAGUGGUAGGAACCUGAAAGGGUGACGACCUUACCUUCGGGUAAGGAGCUAGUACAGGUGAUGCAUGGCUGUCGUCAGCUCGUGUCGUGGGAUGUAGGGUUAAGUCCCGAAACGAGCGCAACCCUUGUCACUAGUUGCCAGCGGAUAAUGCCGGGGACUCUAGUGAGACUGCUGGUGAAUAGCCGGAGGAAGGCGGGGAUGACGUCAAGUCAUCAUGUCCCUUAUGCCCAGGGCGACACACAUGCUACAAUGGGAGGUACAAAGGGUUGCAAUACGGCAACGUGGAGCCAAUCUCAAAAAACCUCCCCCAGUUCGGAUUGUGGUCUGCAACUCGACCACAUGAAGCCGGAAUCGCUAGUAAUCGUAGGUCAGCCAUACUACGGUGAAUAUGUACUCGGGGAUUGUACACACCGCCCGUCACACCAACCGAGUGGGGGGUACCUGAAGUCGCUCUUUUGAGGGCGCCUAAGGUAACCUUCGCAAGAGGGGUGAAGUCGUAACAAGGUA
rnacentral:rRNA from 1 species